AUUUUUAGAGCAAGGAUGAAAUAAUGAUAUUAAAUAUUUUAAAAGAAUUGGUUAUUACGUUAAAACUCAUUGAAAUAACAUGAUAUCCUGAAACCAGAAGUUCUUAAGAAGACAAUAUUAACUAUUGAGCUGAAAUAAUGAGAUAUUACGGUCAUAUUGUUUGAUAGUUGGUCAAGUUAACAUAAGGAUGUAAUACGUUGAAAUAAAAAUACACUUUCUUAAAAUAAUGAGGAUUUAUUUCAUAAUGGCCAGUCUUGAAAUAAUGACAUUAUACGUUGAAAUAAUGAGUUAUUAAGCUCAAACUAUGAGUUAGUAAGUUGUUAUUAAAACAUAUUACAUAGAAAUAAUGAUAUAGGACAUUUGUUUUUUAAAGUGUAUCCACGAGAUUAAAUGAAGUGUAUAUUUAUAAAUGCAGUUAAUAAAAAAUAAAAGUGUAUAUUUCCUGCGACAGAACAUGAUCCAAACUAAAAAAGUAAAAUCAUAGAAAAAUGUUUAGAAAAGAAGAAAAUGCACUGGACAAUAUGCAAAGACCAUCGGUCAAAUCUAAACUGAAAGCAUAAAUCCUGCUCAAUAGAUGUUAUAGAUGUUAUCCUGCUCCAUUGAGGUUAAAGGCAGUUAUAGAGGUAAAACCUGGCCAUACAUGAUAUCAUAUUAUCAUUAACUUUUUGUAUUAAUAAUGUGCUAAACAUGCAUUAUUUAACCAUUUUAUUUACAUGUAGGUUUAAUAAUAAAAUCAGUGCACUUCUCGGUCUAAACUUAAUGCCUUUGUCUUCUCUAUUUAGUUCUAACCUUUGCACUUAACUCUAGCUCAAAGGUCAGAAGCUUGCCCUCGAUAAACAUGUGCCUCAUGUCCCAGAGGCUGCAGGGUAAACAUUGUUUAUAAUGCUGGUAAUUAUAUGCUGUGCCAUACUCUGCUGUAAGUGGAUUUAGACUUUUAGUUAUUAAGUUUGCUGUGGUGAAGAGAAGCGGUGCUGGUGGUUGCUCAGUGCGUGUUAUUACUCCUCGUGUUUAGGUCCUGGCCCAAGUUGUUUGUCAGGCAUCUCAGAAGCCAAAAAUUUCAGGAGACCACAGCUGCACAUUGUCCUGUCUUGUUCAGUGAGUCAGAGGUGACUAAAGCCUGUUUUUGAACACAGGUUGACAUGAAAAAUGGGUUUUUGUAUGACUGAUUCAUUUUCCCCUUGAACUGAAACAUACAGAUUGAAAUCUAUAUAGAUUUGUACAAAAACUGUGUACUGUUCAUGAACUACACUUACACAAUCUUGCAAUAUGCUCAUUGUUUGAGGGAAACACGGACCCUGAAACAUAUGAAAUAUUUUUCGUUUUGAAAAGUUUGCGAUGUGUUUAUUGGUCUUUUCUGGUCUUAAUUUGCCGGACAGUGCUGUAUUUGAUUUUAGUCGUGUCUGAUGUCAAUAGUAGCGCAAUGAGAGCUACAUUUAUUAGAAACAGUUGAACAUACGGGAUAGCAGUCACUUAGCACCUAAAAACAGAAGAGCGGGAGCUUCUAUUCUUUUCUAACUCACCAUUUUACAGCAACGUUAAACAUCACAAUAUUUGUCUAUUCUAUUGUAAGUUUCAGAAUACUGUCUGUGACGCAGCUGAGACGAGAUGUUGAGCAUCAUGAUGGUGAUGAUUAGCAUGAAAACUGGAGCUGAGCAGAAUGUACAGAUGAGGAGGUGAGAGAGCCGGACAGACUGAAGGACUAAAGCGCUGCAGCAUUGGUGGAGAUUUACUGGAGGAGGGAGGUGUAUUCGCCGGUCCUGACAGAACAGCAGCAGCAAACAUCUGCCACAGCAUGACCUUGUGCUUCAACAGUGGAGCACUCAGGCCUUGUGCUGAUGACAGUGAAGCAUUCUGGUGUAAAGAGGGUGGAAUAACAGCUCCCAUUACAGACUCAGCUGGAGUAAACAGACGCUGCAGGAGGCAACUAACGGAGACUAACACGAGAAGGUCCGACAGAGUCGAGCAGGGAAAACCCGUUAUCUAUCACUCGCUCCAGAUGUUUGUUUGUGCUAAGAUGCCUUGCUCGAGAUCACGUGCAAUCUCCACAUCUGCACAGAUGCAAUCAGUGCGGUCUCAAUACUCACCCAAGAAUGGACUACGACUGUGAUCCUGCUGUUUGGGAGCAUUUCUUCACUGAAUGGAAUUCCUCUGGCCUAAAUCAAGGAACCGUGUGCUCUCAGAAGCUCAUCCAAACUAUUUGAAGAGCAUCUUGCAAUAUUUAUCAAACUGGAUGUGUUGCCAUCAUUGUACCGCUGCCUCUGAGGAUAGCUUGCGAACUGCCAGCUAUUUGUAUGACUAUAAAAUGCACACUACAUUCCUGUUGUGACACAUCAAACGUUUGUGUUUUUGGUCUGAAGUCUUUAGUUGACUUUUAAAAAACACAUACAGGAUGUUCUCCUUAUCCACAAUGUGGUCAAUCAAGCAAGACCUUUUUGGUGACUGUUCUGUUCAGUAUUGAUGAAUGUCUUAAUGGGAAAUUUUGUGAUUAAAGCAUUUCCUUUACUACACAAUACUAAACCAAGGCCAGGGUUUUCAGUUCCAUCUCAAGCUGAUACCAAGAUUGUGUCAGUUUCUCAUGUUCUCUCUAUAUACAAAUGAGCUUCUUUUCUGGUCUUGGCUUUUUCCUUUUAUCUCCUAAAACCAUGCUGGUAGGUGGACUGGCAUGCUAUGCUAAAUAACUCCUAGGUGUGAAUGACAUGGAUAUAGUGAAACUGCUUCCCAGUGAAACUGAGCACAUUAUUAUGAACAUGAUACUAAUCUGAACCAGGGACCAAUCUAAUCAGGGACUCAAUUUGCUCUAAAAACAGCCUCAGUUCUUCAUGACAUGGAUUCCACAAGAUGUUGGAAGCAUUUCUUUGAGAUUCUGGUCCAUGUUGACUGCUUGAUUGUGUCAUGCAAUUAGUGCAGAUUUUUCCUGUUAGUGAAUUUCUCGUUCUAACACAUCCCAAAGGUGUUCUACUGGAUUCAGAUCAGAGGAAUGGAAAAAAACAUUGAACUCAUUGUCAUGUUCAUGAAAUCAGUUUGAGGUGACUUUUGUUUUGGGAAAUGGUGCUUGAUCGUGCUGGAAUUAGGCAUUAUAAGAUGGUAAAUUGUGAACAUAAAGUGAUGUACAUGAUCAGAAACAAUACUCAAAUAGACUGUGGCAUUCGAGUGAGGGAUGAUUGGUAUUAACAAGCCCAAAGUGUGACAAGAAAACAUUCCUCACAGCAUUACACCACCUCCACCAGGCAGGUUCAGUCCAUGGAUUUAUGCUGUUGGUGCCAAUUCUGACCCUAUUAUCUGUGUACCUCAGCAGAAACUGAGAUUCAUCAGAACAGGUCCAGUUGUGGUGGCACAUGGCACAUUUCCCACUGUGGGGACCAAUAAUUCAUAUCCAAAGAAACCUAGACCAAUGGGGAUGGUAGUGGGACCAUUACACUGAACACACUCUUUACCACUUAAGAUUAUCCUGAACUUCAGAGUGGUUUUGGGGAACUGGGUUCAGGUCUUUUAUGUGAUUGUGACAUAGUCAAAAUAUAGCUGUAAAUUUAACAGUCUGUGAUUUUAUCCUUUUACAAUUUCCUGCAAAAUGUGUGCUUCAUUUUUUCCCCACAUAUCCAUGUACUCUUAAUUCAUAAAAUCUGUUUAGGGCCACGCAAAAACGAUUUAAUAACCAAUAAAAUAACAUAAAAAACACCAGGAAAAAAUGUAUCACUUUUAGUUGUUUCUAGUGUUGAUGACAGCCAGAUAUAUUUCCUCAGCAGCCGAAGAAUCACCGUUAGACCAUUAGGAUACUUAGCAAGAUAAAAGGCUUAGCCUCAGGAAAUAUCUGUAGGUGGCUGAUGUUUCUACAGCCUCAUUGGUGAACAUCUUUAAAAUCAGCUGAUCAGGAUACUGUUGUUGUAGCGAGUAUUAAUGAGCUAGCAACGUCACAUGUUAGCCUAACACUUGUAUAUAACUGGUCCUAAAGUUGGUCCUAAACUUUUUCUAUUUCAAUUACAUUAACAAGU